GGCAGAUAUCAUGGAGGGUCACGGACUGACGUCCUACCCAAGUAACGGGUGAUACAGUUCAUGUGAACUUCUGAACGUCUUAACCCUCUUUGAACUUGAACUUGAACUUGAGCCUGGCGCAGGCAGUAUCUAGGAGGAAAAAAAAAAAAAAAAGAAGAUUACUACUACUACUACUCCUUGGGUCUCGGACGUGGGCGGCUGCCGGUGAUUUAACGGCGAAUACAGAAAAUUCGAGAGGUGCGUAGGUAUCGUUCAUAUCUUCACACCGAAAAAUGGAGUAAUCAUUUUCGAGUGGACGGAAAAUAGUCGGAGUGUCUAGAUACUCAGAGUCUUUGCUUUUCUGAUUCACAUAACCAAGCCACAAUGUACUUAUCAGGAAGGUGCUGUGUGGGUGAACUCCUUAACUAUUGAAAUACUUACUAUAUUUGCCCUCGCUUACUCUAACUGAAGAGACGCAUUACUUCUCGUCAGGCAGCAUGUUCUGUUUUCAAGUCCUUCUGUGGUUCUUCCAAGGGGGAAGAUCAUUGAGCAUCAUGCAGAACCUGAGGUGGUUGAACGCCGUUCCACCGCUUUUAUCUAAGCCUCUAGUAUUCUUCAGGAGGGCCAGAUACAUCAGUUCCAUUCUGCAUGGAAACGUAUCGUUUGUCCUCUGGGAACAUUUUUGGAGCAGUGUACUGCAUCACAUGAGAAUGUUCUUCCCUGCCUCACAUUGGGGAAGGAGGCUGGGAGCUGGUUUGAAAGCUGUUCCACCUCAGAUUACGAGAGCUUGGGUGAAUAGUUGUGGUUACCGUUAUGGAAGUUAUGGAGAAGUUCUGCACAUGUUUGCUAUCAACGGAAAAGUGCAUAAGAAGGAUAGGGUGUAGGAUGUACUAUAAGUUAUGUUAGUUACAUCAUGUAAAUGUCACCUUUGUCUUAACAGUUGUAAUAUAUCUUAAUUAUUGUAACUAUGGAGGAGUUUGUUAGAAGAAUUUGGUGUAGGAUGUAUUUUAAGUUUUGUCUUGUUAAUUUGUUUGCAGGUUGUCUGUUUGGAUUAUUUUGUGAAAAUGCCAUAGGUGAGCUAAGCUUUUAUAUUAUUGUUCCUUGGUAAUGCAAUUUUGUAGCAUCUUCUACACUAUUUUGAAGUGAUUUGCGCAGCCGUGGUUACUUGUAUUUAUGGCUGCUCUGCCUGAUGUGGCUGUGAUGCUUUUAAAUUUGAUUUAAUCCCUAGCAAAGGGUGUGUUAAUGUUCUAAACAGUACAAUACUUUUAGCCCUUUUCCUUUUGUAUAAUAUUUGUAUCUCUUGAUCUUCUGUCUCUUUUGUAAAAUUACUUUGCUUCUAUCUAAAUUUAUUUAAAUCUAGUCUUUGUUAUUGACUGUGAUUUGAAGUUGAAGUUCUAUGGUAGAAACUGUGUAAACUAGUUUAUUGGCCAAGGACUGAGCUGUUGAAGUAAUUACCUAUGUAAGUUAUCCUGUUUCUGUAUAAUACUUCCCCCCCUUUUCUUUUUGUACAAACAGUACAAUACUUCUAGCCCUUUUCCUUUUGUAAAAUAUUUGUAUCUCUUGAUCUCCUUUCUCUUUUGUAAAAUUACUUAAAUCUGUAUCUUAAUUUAUCUAAAUCUAGUAUUAGUCAUUGAUGACUGUGAUUUAAAAUUCAUAUCUUAAGGUAGAAACUUUGAACUAGUCAUGAAUGAAAAUGGAAACAGUAGCCAUUCAGAAAAUCCCACUUUUAAGUGCAAAUUCUGUGGGAAGAGUUUUUCUGAAAGGAAUGUCUUUAAAUGCCAUGAAAAGACCUGUGAUAACUUCAUGGUCAUUCCUCGUAGUUCCACUUCUGCUGCAUCUGCAACAUCCACUGCAACAUCUGCUGCAACAUCUGCUGCUGUCUCGGUUCAGUCCUCAGGUGACUGCAACCAGAUCAAGUGUCGAUAUUGUUCCAGCUCAUUCACACUUCAAAAAAAUUGCUCGAGGCAUGAAAAAGGUUGCCAGAAAAACCCUUUAUCUUCUUCAAACUUUGUUUGUGAGUUUAGUUUAGUUUAGUUUAGUUUAGUUUAUUGUUCACAGCCAGACAUUACAAGAAAUUGCAAGCCAACACAUAGUCAAAAACACACUUUAUACAACUGAAAGAAAUUCAUCAAUGUUAUAAAAUGCACGGUCAAUUAAAAAUUUCUUAACUUUUAAUUUAAACAAUUUCAUGCUUUCAAUUAUUCUGAGAUCCUCUGGUAGUUUAUUGAAGAGCAUAGAGGAUCUAUAUAGCACAGAGUUCAUUUCAAGGACACUUAUAUUGAUUUUUGAGAUUUUAGAUCUUGUGUUAUAAGAAGAACACGUAAAACUAUUGUUCUUUUUCGCAUGGAUUACU